rnacentral:rRNA from 1 species
ACGGGAGGCAGCAGUCGGGAAUAUUGCACAAUGGGGGAAACCCUGAUGCAGUGACGCCGCGUAUAGGAAGAAGGUCUUUGGAUUGUAAACUAUUGUCGACAGGGAAGAAAAAAAUGACAGUACCUGUGGAGGAAGCCCCGGCAAACUACGUGCCAGCAGCCGCGGUAAUACGUAGGGGGCGAGCGUUAUCCGGAUUUAUUGGGUGUAAAGGGUGCGUAGACGGAUUUGCAAGUUGGUUGUGAAAUCCCUGAGCUCAACUCAGGAACUGCAACCAAAACUGUGAACCUUGAGUGCGGGAGAGGAAAGCGGAAUUCCUAGUGUAGCGGUGAAAUGCGUAGAUAUUAGGAGGAACACCAGUGGCGAAGGCGGCUUUCUGGACCGUAACUGACGUUGAGGCACGAAAGUGUGGGGAGCAAACAGGAUUAGAUACCCUGGUA